CAAGAAGAGACCGCCUCCGGUCCUCUACCCUUGCCCAUCGUACCCUUGUGUUGUUCCCUCGGCGAGGCCCUCGCGCCCGCCGGCGGGAAGAUCAACCAAAUCCUUUUUUGCUAAUCAGCAUCCAAAAAACUUCUGAUCAAACAUAAAUUGUCA
rnacentral:misc_RNA from 1 species